rnacentral:rRNA from 1 species
GACAGAGGGUGCAAACGUUGUUCGGAAUUACUGGGCGUAAAGCGCGUGUAGGCUGCUUCGAAAGUCGGAUGUGAAAGCCCUGGGCUCAACCUAGGAAGUGCAUUCGAAACUUCGAAGCUGGAGUCCUGGAGAGGAAGGCGGAAUUCUCGGUGUAGAGGUGAAAUUCGUAGAUAUCGAGAGGAACACCUGUGGCGAAGGCGGCCUUCUGGACAGUGACUGACGCUGAGACGCGAAAGCGUGGGGAGCAAACAGG